rnacentral:rRNA from 1 species
UACGUAGGGGGCAAGCGUUGUCCGGAAUUAUUGGGCGUAAAGCGCGCGCAGGCGGUUAAUUAAGUUGGGUGUUUAAGCCCGGGGCUCAACCCCGGUUCGCAUCCAAAACUGGUUGACUUGAGUGUAGGAGAGGAAAGUGGAAUUCCACGUGUAGCGGUGAAAUGCGUAGAGAUGUGGAGGAACACCAGUGGCGAAGGCGACUUUCUGGCCUAUAACUGACGCUGAGGCGCGAAAGCGUGGGGAGCAAAC